UCUCCCAACUCCUCUCCUCUCUCCACUCUCCCAAAUCUUGCCCAGCCAUGACUUCAUAGAAAACAGAGAGAGUAACGGCCAUGGCGACGACGUCGGUGGAUUCUCCAAAUCCUGACCCGGACACUGACAUUGAGCUCGAUACCAAUCCAAAUCUUAACCCUAACCCUAAUUCUUCAAACUCAUUAGUCCUUGCCUCCUCCAAUGGCCCUGCUGUCUGCCUUCUCAAGUUUGCCGGAGACUCCGCUGGCGGGGCAUUCAUGGGCUCCAUUUUUCGCUACGCCCUCUCUCUCUCUCUCUCUCUCUCUCUCUCUCUCUCUCUCUCUCUCUCUCUCUCUCUCUCUAUAUAUAUAUAUAUAUAUAUAUAUAUAUGUAUACAUGCGUAUGGAGUGUUAUGCUUUAAUUGCUUAAUUGUGGUGUUUCUAUAUGGGAAUUUGAGUGGUGCUGAUAUAGGAUUUUGAGUGUUUGACAAAAUAUGAUUUUCGUUAAUAGUGUUUUGGGCUUUGCGAAGGGGAGUUAAUUUUCUCUUUCUGACUAACGAGUUGUUGGAGUUUUUGGUGGGGUUUGUUUAGUGUUCUCUAAUGGUUGAGGUAUGCUAGUCUUUUGUAUUUUUCAGUUUGUAUCAUGUGGGUUUCUGUUGAGUAUUGAUAUAGUGAUUCUUAAUAUGCUUUCGGAUAUGUUUUCUGCUGAAAUUCUUCAUAUGAAGUGUAUGAAUUUUGAAUUCGAAAUUGUUGCAUUUGCCUUAACAAAACCUGAUAUGGAUGCAAAUUGGUCCUGUUGUGAUUGAUUUUGUUAUUUAUCAGAACAUGGGAAAGCUGAAAAUAGGUAUCUUCAUGAGAUGCUUGACCAAAAUUUGAAGUAUUGCAAGAGCAUUAAGUAGACCUCCCCUGAUAUGGCUUGCUGUAAAAUGUAACUUAUGGAUUUGAUUUCCUUGUUCUAAAGGUGCCCUUGUAGAUUAUUUGUUACAUUCCUCGCAUAGUGAUGAUAGAUUCAACUCCUCCCAGGUACUUCAAAUUUCAAACACUAUCAACCUUUAAUGGGUACCAUGAAAUAAGAAUGUCUUAUUAUUUUUCAGAUAUUCUUGUUUUCUUCAAUUCAAUUGGAUUUUACAACAAUGUCUGUUUCCCAGGUCCUUUUCAUCAAUAGUUGCUUCAAGCAGUACCCCCACAUGCUGGAGUAUAACGAUUGAAGGGAUGCUUCUUUUAGAAGAGGCUUUUGCUACACUUGGAUGAGAUGUAUGAUCUUCAAAUUCUUGCCCUGUCAAAUUCUUGCUACACCGGAUUAGAUCAACAAAUUCACAUCACUUCAAGAUGACUGUUUCCCAUUCUGACUGGGAAUUCCCCAACCUGCCAUUGAGAUUUACUCUUUCUAAGGCCUCGAUAAGAUGGUGUUGCAGUAGCACGUAUUUCUCCUGAAGAUGGAACGCUUUCAAUAUUCAGAUACUAUAUACAUAUGCCAGAAGCGGAUGUUGUGCCAGAAGAGUCUUCAAACUCCCAUCCCUUCAAGCUUCUCAAGAAACCUCUGCAGGGGAAUAGUAAACUCGUAUGGC